rnacentral:rRNA from 1 species
GAUGAACGCUGGCGGCGUGCCUAAUACAUGCAAGUCGAGCGAACAGACAAGGAGCUUGCUCCUCUGACGUUAGCGGCGGACGGGUGAGUAACACGUGGAUAACCUACCUAUAAGACUGGGAUAACUUCGGGAAACCGGAGCUAAUACCGGAUAAUAUAUUGAACCGCAUGGUUCAAUAGUGAAAGACGGUUUUGCUAUCACUUAUAGAUGGAUCCGCGCCGCAUUAGCUAGUUGGUAAGGUAACGGCUUACCAAGGCAACGAUGCGUAGCCGACCUGAGAGGGUGAUCGGCCACACUGGAACUGAGACACGGUCCAGACUCCUACGGGAGGCAGCAGUAGGGAAUCUUCCGCAAUGGGCGAAAGCCUGACGGAGCAACGCCGCGUGAGUGAUGAAGGUCUUCGGAUCGUAAAACUCUGUUAUUAGGGAAGAACAAAUGUGUAAGUAACUAUGCACGUCUUGACGGUACCUAAUCAGAAAGCCACGGCUAACUACGUG